rnacentral:tRNA from 1 species
GGGCCUGUGGUCUAGGGGUUAUGACGUCGCCUUCACACGGCGGAGGUCGCCGGUUCAAAUCCGGCCGGGCCCA